GGAAACCCAGUGUGUUUCGACACACUAUCAUUAACUGAAUCCAUAGGUUAAUGAGGCGAACCGGGGGAACUGAAACAUCUAAGUACCCCGAGGAAAAGAAAUCAACCGAGAUUCCCCCAGUAGCGGCGAGCGAACGGGGAGGAGCCCAGAGCCUGAAUCAGUGUGUGUGUUAGUGGAAGCGUCUGGAAAGGCGCGCGAUACAGGGUGACAGCCCCGUACACAAAAAUGCACAUACUGUGAGCUCGAUGAGUAGGGCGGGACACGUGGUAUCCUGUCUGAAUAUGGGGGGACCAUCCUCCAAGGCUAAAUACUCCUGACUGACCGAUAGUGAACCAGUACCGUGAGGGAAAGGCGAAAAGAACCCCGGCGAGGGGAGUGAAAAAGAACCUGAAACCGUGUACGUACAAGCAGUGGGAGCCUCUUUUAUGGGGUGACUGCGUACCUUUUGUAUAAUGGGUCAGCGACUUAUAUUCUGUAGCAAGGUUAACCGAAUAGGGGAGCCGAAGGGAAACCGAGUCUUAACUGGGCGUUAAGUUGCAGGGUAUAGACCCGAAACCCGGUGAUCUAGCCAUGGGCAGGUUGAAGGUUGGGUAACACUAACUGGAGGACCGAACCGACUAAUGUUGAAAAAUUAGCGGAUGACUUGUGGCUGGGGGUGAAAGGCCAAUCAAACCGGGAGAUAGCUGGUUCUCCCCGAAAGCUAUUUAGGUAGCGCCUCGUGAAUUCAUCUCCGGGGGUAGAGCACUGUUUCGGCAAGGGGGUCAUCCCGACUUACCAACCCGAUGCAAACUGCGAAUACCGGAGAAUGUUAUCACGGGAGACACACGGCGGGUGCUAACGUCCGUCGUGAAGAGGGAAACAACCCAGACCGCCAGCUAAGGUCCCAAAGUCAUGGUUAAGUGGGAAACGAUGUGGGAAGGCCCAGACAGCCAGGAUGUUGGCUUAGAAGCAGCCAUCAUUUAAAGAAAGCGUAAUAGCUCACUGGUCGAGUCGGCCUGCGCGGAAGAUGUAACGGGGCUAAACCAUG
rnacentral:rRNA from 1 species